AAAUAUCAACCUUGGGUGGAUUUGCUUCCUCUCCGAUGGUUGGACUUUGGAGAGUGCUGGCGUCAGGUCGGCUCCUCUUAAAUGCAUCAGCGGAAAACUUUGACCUCUGGACGUCAACGUGAUUAUCACGCUGCGCUGUCGACCGAGGUGUCAUCAUAAGGACCCGCUUCUAAUGGUCUUCGGACAGGACAUCAA
rnacentral:misc_RNA from 1 species